CUGAGGCACAUGACCCCUCCGUAGAAAAACAAAGUAUAGCAAUGUGAUUUUCCUCCAGCAAGUGUUAAGAAAUGGCUCGUUGUUCUUCUAUUUAUUUUGUUUUUCGUUUUGACACACUCAUCUUUUGACCUGCACCUGGUAUUCUGUGUAACCUCCAUGACAACAAUUGAGAAGCAAGAAAGGAUGAGAGAAAGGAAAGUUCACUCUAAGAGAGAAUAUACCUACUGUAUUUCCCCAGCAAGGUAUGGCCUCAUUCCAACUCAGUCAUGCAAUCGUGGCAGAGGGGAGAGAUCCCAUAAUAGGUGGAUUCUUUACCAUGGCGUCACUUGGGAAACCCCAUUUAACACCUUACCUACUUCACAUCCCCAACUGAAAGAUGAGGAGACAAACAGUUUUGGAAUUCUAUUCUUAACCAUUCACUGUGGAACAAAGGCUUUGAUGAUAAAAGAGACCAUAAUUCAAACCCUAGCUCUUUCAUUUAACACUCUGAGUCUCAGUUUUAAAAAUGGGAAUCUUAAUACCUAUUUUAUAGGUAUAUUGUUAUGAAAUAAAUGAUUAAAAGCAUAGUUGUUAUUAUUACUACUACUAUGUACCCAUCAACUGAAACAAACCUUAUUUUCCCAGAAGCUUUAUUAAAAGUAAGAGUUAACAUGUAUCGCUAAUACUUGGAUAUGUGUUUCCGGUUGGUGGGGUGGGUAGAUUAGGGAAGGUGGUGGAUGUCAACAGUCUCUGGCUCCUUAUCAUCAUUUCUGGAUGACUGCUUCUCCAUCUGCAUGCAAAAACCUCCACUCUGAGUUUUAUGCCACCUAACAAUAGAGCUAUAAUCAUAUUUAGUUCCUCUGCAUCUCUGUGCUGUCAUCAUUAGCCUCUUGCUGAUGUCAAAUGAGCCUAAGGCUUAGAUCUCAUCUCCCUAUCCAUCUAGGGGUUUGUCAUCAUCAUGUAAGACUUCAGCAUCUGUUUACAGGACCCAUCCAAUGCUUGAGUCUUGUGGUUUUGAAGUGUUUUCAAUAUUAUAAUUGCCACUUUCUGACUUCAGUUGCCCAUUAAUUUAAUCUUGUUCACCACAUCAUUCCUAUCAAAUGUCUUCCUCCACCUGAUGGUUAUUGCCAGAAUCUCAGUCCCUUUUUUGAGUCUAUAUACCUCUUAUGACUGAUUUCUUCCUUAUAUAGGGGUGAGUCCCCGUCCAUUAAAUCAAACACUGAUCAAUAAGACUCACUACUAAUUAUCUUUUAUUUGUCAAAUUCAAUUGAUACAGCUAAUCCACAGACAUUCCUUAGCUAGAAUAUGCUUCAUUUAUGACUGUAGGAGUAAAACAAAGUUUAGGAAGGAGUGGGCUGAUGGGAGAUUGCAACUUGAGAAAAUAACAGGAUCCUGAAAGUUCUCAGGGUCCAAACAACUUCGAAAUUUACACUUCCUGUUUCAAAGCUAAUUUUGUAUUGUGAAGAUUUUUUUGGUCAACAGAUCAGGCAUCAUAAUUGAUAGCAGAAAAUAAAAAUGUGAUGGCACUAACAUUUUUUUAUGUUCCAAAUCUGAUGUAUUUGUUUUAUUCUACUCUGUUGUAAAACCAAAAAUUCCCCCAUUGCACAGAAGCCAAUAUCCUAUAAGAUCAUGAAAAAGCGGUGUAGGACAUGCAAGACAUGAUGAGCUACAAGGGAUGUUGGGUAGUUACAAGUCAAUUUCUCUGUGUUUAGGUUGGUAAAUAACCAAAUUUUCUAAGACACAGGUAUUUUUCCAUUUAUCUUGCCCUCCACACUCCUUAAAGCUCCAUGUUUUAGA